rnacentral:snRNA from 1 species
GUGCUUGCUUCGGCAGCACAUAUACUAAAAUUGGAACCAUACAGAGAAGAUUAGCAUGGCCCCUGUGCAAGUAUGAGACGCAAAUUUGUGCAGCAUUCCAUAUUUUU